CGCGGCCAUUCGCCGCUGGCUGGAUUGAUGUACGAGCCAUGACCUACUACUAUACUAGUAUAGAGUAGGUCGUGGUACGAGCUGUUGUCCAGUUGCCAAGGGACCAGAGAGAACCGGAAUUUGUUACCUACGACCGAAACAACAUCCGCGUCCAUAUAAUGACCGAAGAGGACGAAGUGGACUGGGAUAGGAUUGCCGAAAAAAAGACAGGCAAGACCGCUAAGAAGCGUUCCAAGCUUGUGGCCAAGUUACGCGGCGCCCUUGAAGACCAAUAUGAUGGAUUUUGCGACCACUUUUAUCAACGCCAUCUGCAUACAGAGGCAUGUCGGGAAGGCCCAGGACAGCAGAAAAAUAGUCGAAAUUGAUGCUGGCAGCCUGGCCAGUAGAGCGGCAGGACCGUUUCUUCGUACACAGACGACAGCAGAGGACGAAGAUUUGAACCCUAAGGCGGAAGACGAAUUCUUGCUUCGUUUUUUGCGGGCCAACUGUUUGCACGUGAAGAAAUCCGUGGUGACGGUCAAGCGAUACUGCCGUGUGCGAGCGACCAAGAAAGAUCUAUUCACCAAUCUCCUGCCAUCAAAGAUGAACUAAGUGUUUGCCAGCAACCCCGUCGGUGUUCUUUCCGAACGACAUACCAGCGGGCACUUCAUCAUGAUCAUUCGCGCCGGAGCUUGGAACCCCGGCAAGAUCAGCUUCGUCAGUGUAUGUCCUGACGACUAUCGCUCGUUUACAGUCGUCAGAUGGUGCAAAUAUGGAAUGACUUGUUGGUUGUCCUUCUUGCAGACUUUCGCUUUUAAGGGUGUAAUAACGAAUCGCAUCUGGGUGUCUUGCAAGAAACAAAUACAUGAAAGAUUCCGUGUGCCAUAUCAGAAGUCUUACCGUACCGGAAAACAUAAUUAUUCGUGUUCCGCCGCUUUUGGAAACGUUAUGCGCGUAGAACAAAAUAAAAGGGCACAAGCGA